UGUGUGGGAAGAAACAUAUGAGAUGGUCAUU
rnacentral:piRNA from 1 species